CGGGGCGGUGGCGCGGCUGGGCGCGAGCCUGCUGCCGGCUCUGUCGCUGGCGGUGGGCGAGGAUGCCGGCUUCUUCGGCCGGCGCUUCGC
rnacentral:tRNA from 1 species